AGGCUAAGUUCAGACGCCGUGGAAGCCGUCAGAGAGUAACAAUGGUCACCAUCUCGGACCGGGAGGAGACCAAGAAGAGAAGAUUUGCUCUAUGGUUUCACAUCACUGUCAUUGUGAGCAUCGGACUGCUGAGUAUUCUCCUCAUCUCCCUGCGCUUCAACUCACCGUCACCCUGGAUAGAGGGGAGAGAGAACUUACUGGAUGAACU